GGGUAUAGUUCAGUGGUAGAGCAUGUGCUUAGCAUGCAUGAGGUCAUGGGUUCAAUCCCCAGUACCUCCA
rnacentral:tRNA from 1 species